UACGAAGGGGGCUAGCGUUGUUCGGAAUUACUGGGCGUAAAGCGCGCGUAGGCGGAUUGCUAAGUCAGGGGUGAAAUCCCGAGGCUCAACCUCGGAACUGCCUUUGAUACUGGUGAUCUGGAGUCCGGAAGAGGUUGGUGGAAUUCCGAGUGUAGAGGUGAAAUUCGUAGAUAUUCGGAGGAACACCAGAGGCGAAGGCGGCCAACUGGUCCGGUACUGACGCUGAGGUGCGAAAGCGUGGGGAGCAAACAGGG
rnacentral:rRNA from 1 species